rnacentral:pre_miRNA from 1 species
CCUAGUUUCCGUGUUCAAUAUUUAACCGUCCGUCUUAUUUAAAAAAUUAUGAAAAAAAAUUAAAAAGACAAAUCACGCAUAAAAUAUUAAUCAUGUUUUAUCAUCUAACAACAAUAAAAAUACGAAUUAUAAAAAAAAAUUCAUAUAAGACGGACAGUUAAAGUUGGAUACGGAAACCCAUGGUUUGACUUUUU